AUCUUUCUAGUAUAAAAUAAUAUAAGUGACUUCCAAUCACCCGCUCUUGGUUCAAAUCCAAGGAAAGAUA
rnacentral:tRNA from 1 species